rnacentral:misc_RNA from 1 species
AAAAUGCGAUAAGUAAUGUGAAUUGCAGAAUUCAGUGAAUCAUCGAAUCUUUGAACGCACAUUGCGCCCGCCAGUAUUCUGGCGGGCAUGCCUGUUCGAGGGUCAUUUCAACCCUCAAGCCCCCGGGUUUGGUGUUGGGGAUCGGGCUGCGGUUCUACCGCGUCCCGGCCCCGAAAUCUAGUGGCGGUCUCGCUGCAGCCUCCAUUGCGUAGUAGCUAACACCUCGCAACUGGAACGCGGCGCGGCCAAGCCGUUAAACCCCCAACUUCUGAAUGUUGACCUCGGAUCAGGUAGGAAUACCCGCUGAACUUAAGC